rnacentral:rRNA from 1 species
GACAGAGGGUGCAAACGUUGUUCGGAAUUACUGGGCGUAAAGCGCAUGUAGGCGGUUCGUUAAGUCAGAUGUGAAAGCCCUGGGCUUAACCCAGGAAGUGCAUUUGAAACUCACGAACUUGAGUCCCGGAGAGGAAGGCGGAAUUCUCGGUGUAGAGGUGAAAUGCGUAGAUAUCGGAAGGAACAUCAGUGGCGAAAGCGACUUCCUGGACCAAUACUGACGCUCAUGUGCGAAAGCGUGGGGAGCAAACAGG